UCAAGUGUAAGUGUGUGUGUGUGUGUGUGCGUUUUACUUCAAGUUAACAUUUUAUGUGAUUAAUCUUCACCAAGUGGUUGGACUUGGAAAAGCAAUGCCAUAUGGUACAUGACAGUAGGUACACCUGUAUAUAAAUGCCCCAUACAAGUGCAAUCUUCAUAACUACCUUUUACAACAAAAUGAAUUCAUUUAAACUCUUGUGCAUCGAUUGCAUAUUACAGUAAAUCAAUACUGUUACAUUGUGUUAAAAAUGAUUGUUUUGUAUCGCAUUCGUGCAGGUGUCCCUAAUUGUGUAACCAGUGCGUGUCGAAAUAUGAUGGGAAGUGUCUGUGUAAGUGUGUGUGUGUGUGUGAGAAAGAGAUAUGUCCAACCACCUGUUACUUGUCAGAGUCAAUGAGCUUUAUGUUUGAAUAUUUUCUCUAUUGUUGUGUAACAUAUCAUAAGGGUUCUAACACACAAAACUAUCAAAUUAAAAAACAAAGCCGGAUUUUAUUCAUAAAAAAUGUGAGGUGAAUCAUGAUAUGAUUAAAAUCUUCUGUUUCAGAGGAUCA